GGACGAACGCUGGCGGCGUGCUUAACACAUGCAAGUCGAACGGAAAGGCCCUGCUUUUGUGGGGUGCUCGAGUGGCGAACGGGUGAGUAACACGUGAGUAACCUGCCCUUGACUUUGGGAUAACUUCAGGAAACUGGGGCUAAUACCGGAUAGGAGCUCCUGCUGCAUGGUGGGGGUUGGAAAGUUUCGGCGGUUGGGGAUGGACUCGCGGCUUAUCAGCUUGUUGGUGGGGUAGUGGCUUACCAAGGCUUUGACGGGUAGCCGGCCUGAGAGGGUGACCGGCCACAUUGGGACUGAGAUACGGCCCAGACUCCUACGGGAGGCAGCGGUGGGGAAUAUUGCACAAUGGGCGGAAGCCUGAUGCAGCAACGCCGCGUGCGGGAUGACGGCCUUCGGGUUGUAAACCGCUUUCGCCUGUGACGAAGCGUGAGUGACGGUAAUGGGUAAAGAAGCACCGGCUAACUACGUG
rnacentral:rRNA from 1 species